rnacentral:rRNA from 1 species
AGCGGCGGACGGGUGAGUAACGCGUGGGUAACCUGCCUCAUACAGGGGGAUAACAGUUGGAAACGGCUGCUAAUACCGCAUAAGCGCACAGUACCGCAUGGUACCGUGUGAAAAACUCCGGUGGUAUGAGAUGGACCCGCGUCUGAUUAGCUAGUUGGUGGGGUAACGGCCUACCAAGGCGACGAUCAGUAGCCGACCUGAGAGGGUGACCGGCCACGUUGGGACUGAGACACGGCCCAA